rnacentral:rRNA from 1 species
CCAUCAAAACUUUUUAGCUAGAGUAUGAUAGAGGAAAGCAGAAUUUCUAGUGUAGAGGUGAAAUUCGUAGAUAUUAGAAAGAAUACCAAUUGCGAAGGCAGCUUUCUGGAUCAUUACUGACGCUGAGGAACGAAAGCAUGGGUAGCGAAGAGGAUUAGAUACCCUCGUAGUCCAUGCCGUAAACGAUGUGUGUUAGACGUUGGAAAUUUAUUUUCAGUGUCGCAGCGAAAGCGUUAAACACACCGCCUGGGGAGUACGACCGCAAGGUUAAAACUCAAAUGAAUUGACGGGGACCCGCACAAGUAGUGGAGCAUGUGGUUUAAUUCGAAGAUACGCGCAGAACCUUACCAACACUUGACAUGUUCGUCGCGACUUUAAGAGAUUAAAGUUUUCGGUUCGGCCGGACGAAACACAGGUGCUGCAUGGCUGUCGUCAGCUCGUGUCGUGAGAUGUUGGGUUAAGUCCCGCAACGAGCGCAACCCUCACUUUUAGUUGCCAUCAUUAAGUUGGGCACUCUGAAAGAACCGCCAGUGAUAAGCUGGAGGAAGGUGGGGAUGACGUCAAGUCCUCAUGGCCCUUACGUGUUGGGCUACACACGUGCUACAAUGGCAUUUACAAUAGGAAGCAAGAUGGCGACGUCAAGCAAAUCCUAAAAAGAUGCCUCAGUUCGGAUUGUACUCUGCAACUCGAGUACAUGAAGCUGGAAUUACUAGUAAUCGCGGAUCAGCGCGCCGCGGUGAAUACGUUCCCGGGUCUUGUACACACCGCCCGUCACACCAUGGGAGUUGGUUCUACCUUAAGGCAAGGUUUAAAACCCUUGACCACGGUAUAGUCAGCGACUGGGGUGAAGUCGUAACAAGGUAACC